AAGAUUGGAAAAACCCUAAUCUGAAGUCACAGAACCUCUUCCCGCUUGGUCUUCUCAUCUUCUGACUCUUCUCAUCAUCUAAACUCAGCUACCGGCGCUUAUUGUCUCCGCCGCACCAGAGCAGACAGCUGGCACUGCAGUUUCGUAUCUUCUGCCGCCACCACAAGCGCGUCGCAUCUCUGGUCGUAGCUUUCGCCUCUUUGGAUCGUCGUCGCACUGCCGCUCUGUUCCGCGGUCCUUUGUUCUGCCGUCCGCCUUUUCUCGUCAUGACCAACUCUGUUCUUCUCUGUUCUCUGGGUACCCUCGCCUUUUCUCAAGGUUCUUCUCUGUUCUCUGUUUCGCCGUCUUCUGUUCUUUGCAUUUCCUUUAUGGGUUCUACCGUUCUAAGGGUGUAGAGAAUUUGAGUUUGCAUCUGUGAUAUUAGUUUAUGAAUCAAGAAUCCUUAUGAAUGGUUCAAUAAUGCUUAAUUGCUUAGCUUUGUGAAAUUAGUCAGAAAUGAUAAACGGGUAACAUAUAUAGUUCCUGAAAUAAGUAACUGUGGAGAUAUUUAUAUUGCUAUAAUGCCAUGUUACUGAUUGUUCUAGAAUCUAGAUUGGUAUUAUUUUUUAAAUGAUCAUCUAAUUUAUUUACUUUGCUUUAGUUAUAGACUUAUAGGUAGUAUAGGAAAGUUAUCACGUAUAGCAAACGAAAAAAGAGGCAUAUGGUAUGACUUGUACGAAUAGGUAGCCAAUAAAAAAAUUGUCUAUUAGUGAAUGUUGAAUAGACAAAAAUAACCCUGGCAAAGCACUUGAAAUGUCAUAAAUCUCCUGCUUAGAAUGACAAAUUGGCGGCGGCUAAAAUCGAAUGGCGAAACAGGGCUUCAGCUUGGAGACUUGUGUUGGGAAGUGGGGCUGAAAUUGUUAGUUGUUUGUGGAAAAAAAGGAGUGAGUGUGUCGUCGCUUCUUCACUUGCGGUAAGUGGAGGCAAAGGUGAACAAAUAAAUUGCCUAGCCUCCAUUGAUCUUGUGUGCACGAAUCAGUUGAUUACCGUGUUAGGUGGUCAGAUCUGGAAGUUUUGGAACAUCUUAUCUUCUCGGCUUUUGGUGAUGUUAAAGACGAAUGCGAAGCUAUACAAGUGACGUAGAAAGCAUGAAUUGCGUGAUAUUAUAAGAGAUUGUAGUGCUGUUAUGUGAGCAACAAAGACUUUUUAUUAUAAACAUGGCUUCAAGCAGCAGAUAUGGCAAUUUAAAUAGGAACAAUGUAGAUGAUUCUUUUGAAAAUACGUGCGGAAUUAAUGGCGGUGACAGUGACAAAAAGGUAAGCAUGGGAGAAGACUCUGUAUGAGAAAGGGGGCAGUGGCCUCAUCAAAUUAUAACUUUUAGUAACAAAUUUUUUUUUAUAUAGAUAUAGCCCUGUAAAUUACAUUACAUAGCUAUUGUAUUAAAAAAAGAAAAUAGCCUCGUUGUUAAAUAAUGGAUGCAAUUCCUUAAUAAUUUAGUGUAAGCCGAUAAAAUAAAAUGUCCAAAUAUGUAUUGUGUUGUUUUGAGAAAAUAUUGUAGCUGAAUUGAUUUAGAAAGUAAAAUAUAAAUCCUAUUAUAUUCCUAAUGCAUUCUUGUACUGAAAGAAGCAUUUUUACUGUUGCAACUCAAGCAGCAGUAACUUUUACUUUUACUUUUUUUUGUUGAAUUAAAUAAAAUAAAUUU